rnacentral:rRNA from 1 species
UACAGAGGGGGCAAGCGUUAUUCGGAAUUAUUGGGCGUAAAGGGCGCGUAGGCGGCCACGCACGUCCGUUGUGAAAUCGCUCGGCUCAACUGGGCGGGGUCAGCGGAUACGGAGUGGCUGGAGCAAGCUAGGGGGCAAUGGAAUUCCCGGUGUAGUGGUGGAAUGCGUAGAUAUCGGGAGGAACACCAGUGGCGAAGGCGGUUGCCUGGAGCUUUGCUGACGCUGAUGCGCGAAAGCGUGGGGAGCGAUCCGG